UACGGAGGGGGCUAGCGUUGUUCGGAAUUACUGGGCGUAAAGCGCACGUAGGCGGCUUUUGUAAGUUAGAGGUGAAAGCCCGGGGGCUCAACUCCGGAAUUGCCUUUAAAACUGCAUCGCUCGAAUUGUGGAGAGGUAAGUGGAAUUCCGAGUGUAGAGGUGAAAAUUCGUAGAUAUUCGGAAGAACACCAGUGGCGAAGGCGGCUCACUGGACUGGUAUUGACGCUGAGGAGCGAAAGCCAGGGGAGCAAACGGG
rnacentral:rRNA from 1 species